CCGGACCCCACUCUGCUCCUGGGGAUUCGCCCUUCCCACCAGAGCACCACCAGAAAAGGAAUGUAAGCCAUCACAGGAAUCCCAACCCAAUACUCUUACCCAUAGAUUGAGAGCUUCAGAGGAAGUGAAGUGCCUUUUAAAAAAUGACUUCUAACUGGAUGAAUCCCUCUUGGAAGUGUUACUGUGCCUUCCAGGACCAUCCACAUCCAUCCUCAUAAACUCAUUUUGCAAAGUAAAACCACUGUCAAUCAGGGGUCUCCUUUGGUAUGUGCUAUAGACCAAAUCAUUCUGAGAUAUCUGGCCCCUCCAGAUUUGUAUAUCUACUAUAGUAUAUCAAAUUCAAGUUUCUGACAUAUAGUUUCAUGUGGUGUUGAUUGACUAUGAAAUACAAAUCCAAGCAAGUGCCUUACUUCUUUUAUUUGUAUAAUAAGUAAUAUAGGAGUAUCAGUUGGUGCUCAUUCUGUUUUCAAGAAAUAAUCCUUAAAUGUGACUAAUAAUUUGUAAUUCACUUCCAUCUAACUGUCCGAUGAAAAAUCAAUACUCUGAGAAUCAUUGAUUAAAUAUGCUAUAUGAUCACAAGAAAAAAGUCAAUUAGGAAAAGCUCUAGCCGUAUUCUUG